rnacentral:pre_miRNA from 1 species
UUGUGGAGCCCACCCCUUGUAACAGCAACUCCAUGUGGAAGGGUCUCCUGGUUCCAGUGGAGCUGCUGUUAUCUUGGGUGGGUCAUCCGGGA